rnacentral:rRNA from 2 species
AGAGUUUGAUCCUGGCUCAGGACGAACGCUGGCGGCGCGCCUAACACAUGCAAGUCGAACGAGCGAGAGAGAGCUUGCUUUCUCGAGCGAGUGGCGAACGGGUGAGUAACGCGUGAGGAACCUGCCUCAAAGAGGGGGACAACAGUUGGAAACGACUGCUAAUACCGCAUAAGCCCACGGCUCGGCAUCGAGCAGAGGGAAAAGGAGCAAUCCGCUUUGAGAUGGCCUCGCGUCCGAUUAGCUAGUUGGUGAGGUAACGGCCCACCAAGGCGACGAUCGGUAGCCGGACUGAGAGGUUGAACGGCCACAUUGGGACUGAGACACGGCCCAGACUCCUACGGGAGGCAGCAGUGGGGAAUAUUGCACAAUGGGGGAAACCCUGAUGCAGCGACGCCGCGUGGAGGAAGAAGGUCUUCGGAUUGUAAACUCCUGUUGUUGAGGAAGAUAAUGACGGUACUCAACAAGGAAGUGACGGCUAACUACGUGCCAGCAGCCGCGGUAAAACGUAGGUCACAAGCGUUGUCCGGAAUUACUGGGUGUAAAGGGAGCGCAGGCGGGAAGACAAGUUGGAAGUGAAAUCCAUGGGCUCAACCCAUGAACUGCUUUCAAAACUGUUUUUCUUGAGUAGUGCAGAGGUAGGCGGAAUUCCCGGUGUAGCGGUGGAAUGCGUAGAUAUCGGGAGGAACACCAGUGGCGAAGGCGGCCUACUGGGCACCAACUGACGCUGAGGCUCGAAAGUGUGGGUAGCAAACAGGAUUAGAUACCCUGGUAGUCCACACCGUAAACGAUGAUUACUAGGUGUUGGAGGAUUGACCCCUUCAGUGCCGCAGUUAACACAAUAAGUAAUCCACCUGGGGAGUACGACCGCAAGGUUGAAACUCAAAGGAAUUGACGGGGGCCCGCACAAGCAGUGGAGUAUGUGGUUUAAUUCGACGCAACGCGAAGAACCUUACCAAGUCUUGACAU